UGCCARCAGCCGCGGUAAUACGGAGGAUCCMAGCGUUAUCCGGAAUCAUUGGGUUUAAAGGGUCCGUAGGCGGUUUUAUAAGUCAGUGGUGAAAUCCGGUAGCUUAACUAUCGAACGGCCAUUGAUACUGUAGAACUUGWAUUAUUGUGAAGUAACUAGAAUAUGUAGUGUAGCGGUGAAAUGCUUAGAUAUUACAUGGAAUACCAAUUGCGAAGGCAGGUUACUAACAAUAUAUUGACSCUGAUGGACGAAAGCGUGGGGAGCGAACAGGAUUAGAWCCCUGGUAGUCC
rnacentral:rRNA from 1 species